AUUGAACGCUGGCGGCGUGCUUAACACAUGCAAGUCGAUCGGUAACAGGUGUAGCAAUACAUGCUGACGAGAGGCGGACGGGUGAGGAACGCUUGGGAAUCUGCCUAUCAGCGGGGGACAACCCGGGGAAACCCGGGCUAAUACCGCGUACGCUCUACGGAGGAAAGCCGGGGACCGCAAGGCCUGGCACUGAUAGAUGAGCACAAGUCGGAUUAGCUAGUUGGCGGGGUAACGGCCCACCAAGGCGACGAUCCGUAGCUGGUCUGAGAGGACGAUCAGCCACACCGGAACUGAGACACGGUCCGGACUCCUACGGGAGGCAGCAGUGGGGAAUAUUGGACAAUGGGCGAAAGCCUGAUCCAGCGACGCCGCGUGGGUGAAGAAGGCCUGCGGGUUGUAAAGCCCUUUCGGUAGGGACGAAAGCUCUCGACCUAACACGUCGGGAGGUUGACUUAACCUACAAAAGAAGCACCGGCUAACUCUGUGCCAGCCGCCGCCGUAACAC
rnacentral:rRNA from 1 species